UUAGGAAUUUUCCGCAAUGGGCGCAAGCCUGACGGAGCAAUACCGCGUGAGUGAUGAAGACCUUCGGGUUGUAAAGCUCUGUCGGAGGGGAAGAAAAAUGACGGUACCCUCCAAGAAAGCCCCGGCUAACUACGUGCCAGCAGCCGCGGUAAUACGUAGGGGGCGAGCGUUAUCCGGAUUUACUGGGCGUAAAGCGCGUUAAGGCGGUUGGCAAAGUUGGUUGUGAAAUCUCAGGGCUCAACCCUGAAAUUGCGACCAAUACUGGUCGACUAGAGUGUGAGAGAGGAAGGUGGAAUUCCCGGUGUAGUAGUGAAAUGCGUAGAUAUCGGGAGGAACACCAGUGGCGAAGGCGGCCUUCUGGCUCAUAACUGACGCUGUAGCGCGAAAGCGUGGGGAGCGAACCG
rnacentral:rRNA from 1 species